AAGAAAAGGAAGAGGUGUGGCAAUGCCUAAUGCUCUACUGCUAAAACGCCCUCAGUUAUCCCAAAUGGUUGCUAGAGCUUCGCUGUUCCCUUGGUUGGAGGACCUUGCUCAGAGAACAAAUGUGUUAGACAAUACAUGGUGCCUGCCACUCUCCUGCAACAUGAGGGCCCGUGUACUCCUAAUGUUGACACAUGCCCUAAAUUCCUUACUCUUGUUAUAUAGACUUACUUCUGACCUGCAGUCUUCAAAGGCUUGUUCCAUUUGGUAUAAUGUCUUAGUGGCACCCUCUGCUGUGCUGUCCAUUCCAUUGCGCUUACAGUGUUUCUAAGCAGGUGCUGAGGAUGCGUCCAGCAGGCUCUCAGUCCACCUGUCAUACUGUGAAGCUUCCUGUCUGUUAAUUAAAUCUACUUGUGUUCACAUUUACCUCCUAUGUUAACCUGAAAA
rnacentral:lncRNA from 1 species